GACGUCAAACGCUGAGUAAUCGAGACUUGUGAAUUUGAGUGACUGUUACUCAAAUAAAUAUAAAUAAGUGGAAAACUCAAAAUUGAGGUCAUCGUGAAAAUUUCUGAAAAAUGGCGAAGUCCGGUUGCUCGUGAAAAGCCAGAAAUCAAAUUCAAUUAUAAAACAUAUGUUUAACAUUAUGGUUUUCGCAGAUUUUUAAAAACAAAAUACAUUCUGAAAAGUAUUUUUUCCGCUGCUUACAUCGGAUUUCUGCAUCAGCCUGACUUGGCUUCAGAGUUACGAUUAAGGAAACAGAUACUGGAUACUGCUUCGGGGGAUUGGGAUACCUUUCGUAGCGCCAAACAUCAUGCCCCAGCAAUUAAUGCCAGGCUAUGAUAUUUCAUGAUUCACUCGAAUUCUAUUUAACUUGAUGUAUAAGCUUAAUAACAUUGUAUGUAUAUAUUGUAUUAAUAAUGUAACAUUUAGUAUAAUAAAUAAAAUGUUUCG